rnacentral:rRNA from 1 species
GCUGGCGGCGUGCUUAACACAUGCAAGUCGAACGGUAAGGCUCCAGCUUGCUGGGGUACACGAGUGGCGAACGGGUGAGUAACACGUGGGUGACCUGCCCUGCACUUCGGGAUAAGCCUGGGAAACUGGGUCUAAUACCGGAUAGGACCGCACCGUGAGGGUGUGGUGGAAAGUUUUUUCGGUGUGGGAUGGGCCCGCGGCCUAUCAGCUUGUUGGUGGGGUAAUGGCCUACCAAGGCGGCGACGGGUAGCCGGCCUGAGAGGGUGGACGGCCACAUUGGGACUGAGACACGGCCCAGACUCCUACGGGAGGCAGCAGUGGGGAAUAUUGCACAAUGGGCGGAAGCCUGAUGCAGCGACGCCGCGUGGGGGAUGACGGCCUUCGGGUUGUAAACUCCUUUCACCAUCGACGAAGGGUUUCUGACGGUAGAUGGAGAAGAAGCACCGGCUAACUACGUGCCAGCAGCCGCGGUAAUACGUAGGGUGCGAGCGUUGUCCGGAAUUACUGGGCGUAAAGAGCUCGUAGGUGGUUUGUCGCGUCGUCUGUGAAAUUCCGGGGCUUAACUCCGGGCGUGCAGGCGAUACGGGCAUAACUUGAGUACUGUAGGGGAGACUGGAAUUCCUGGUGUAGCGGUGAAAUGCGCAGAUAUCAGGAGGAACACCGGUGGCGAAGGCGGGUCUCUGGGCAGUAACUGACGCUGAGGAGCGAAAGCAUGGGGAGCGAACAGGAUUAGAUACCCUGGUAGUCCAUGCCGUAAACGGUGGGCGCUAGGUGUGGGUUUCCUUCCACGGGAUCCGUGCCGUAGCUAACGCAUUAAGCGCCCCGCCUGGGGAGUACGGCCGCAAGGCUAAAACUCAAAGGAAUUGACGGGGGCCCGCACAAGCGGCGGAGCAUGUGGAUUAAUUCGAUGCAACGCGAAGAACCUUACCUGGGCUUGACAUAUACAGGAUCGCGCCAGAGAUGGUGUUUCCCUUGUGGCUUGUAUACAGGUGGUGCAUGGUUGUCGUCAGCUCGUGUCGUGAGAUGUUGGGUUAAGUCCCGCAACGAGCGCAACCCUUGUCUUAUGUUGCCAGCACGUUGUGGUGGGGACUCGUAAGAAACUGCCGGGGUUAACUCGGAGGAAGGUGGGGAUGACGUCAAAUCAUCAUGCCCCUUAUGUCCAGGGCUUCACACAUGCUACAAUGGUCGGUACAGUGGGUUGCCAGUCCGUGAGGGCGAGCUAAUCCCGCAAAGCCGGUCUCAGUUCGGAUCGGGGUCUGCAACUCGACCCCGUGAAGUCGGAGUCGCUAGUAAUCGCAGAUCAGCAACGCUGCGGUGAAUACGUUCCCGGGCCUUGUACACACCGCCCGUCACGUCAUGAAAGUCGGUAACACCCGAAGCCAGGGCCUAAC